GACGAACGCUGGCGGCGUGCCUAAUACAUGCAAGUAGAACGCAGUUGCGAACGGGUGAGUAACGCGUAGGUAACUGCCUCAUAGCGGGGGAUAACUAUUGGAAACGAUAGCUAAUACCGCAUACUGUGAGAUGGACCUGCGUUGCAUUAGCUAGUUGGUGAGGUAAAGGCUCACCAAGGCGACGAUACAUAGCCGACCUGAGAGGGUGGUUCGCCACACUGGGACUUGGAACCGGCCCAGACCUCCUACGGGGGCCGCAUGAGGGAAUCCUUUGCCAAUGACGGAAAUUUGAACGAGCAAAGCCGGGGGAGUGAAGAAGGGUUUCCGGUCGGAAAGCUCUGUUGUUUGAGAAGCGGUAACUAACCAGAAAGGGAUUGCUAACUACGUGCCAGCAGCCGCGGUAAUAC
rnacentral:rRNA from 1 species